CUCCUACUCCCUCCGUUCGGAAAUACUUGUCAUUGAAAUGGAUGUAUCUAGAUGCAUUUUAGUUCUGAAUACAUCCAUUUCCAGCCAUUUUGAUGACAAGUAUUUCCGGACGGAGGGAGUACUUU
rfam:Triticum aestivum genome assembly, contig: Triticum_aestivum_CS42_TGACv1_scaffold_514478_6BS